GUUAAAACGUGUAGUUUCAGACAAUUUCUGAAGCCGAAACUGAAUUUGACAUCGGGAAGAGGCAAUGUCGGCAAGCGCUGAAGGAGGGCCACCGGAGGUAACUCUGGAGAGUUCCAUGGGUUCUUUCACCGUCGAGUCUUUUACUCCAUGGGAAUUUUGUCAUUCCGUGUAGGAAUUUGAAGUGCACGCUAGGUGGAGAUCCCAUAGGAACUAGACGGGGCGGGGAAUCUAUAUAUGGUUUGAUGAUGAAAUAAAACCAAAAUUGAAGCAUACUGGAGCUUGUAUUCUAUCAAUGGCAAAUGUUGGUCCUGAUACAAAUGGGAGACAGUUCUUUAUCACUCUUGCUCCUUGUCUAUCUUUAGAUGAAUUAUAUGCUUUGGAAGGUCACCUUUUUUGUUGUGGAUAAUCCUACUGCGUUCUCACUUUGAUCUAGGUGAGUUCCAAUGUCUUGUUGUAAACAAAGUUUUUACUGAGUUCACGCACAUAUUUGCUAUAAAGACCACUGAGGUAUGUCAUAUUAUGGUGCUCACAUUCUCAUUGAUCUUUUUUUGCUUCUUCUUGAAGUACUUGGUGCUUCAUGCUCAAUUUUCUGUUUUGCUAAUUGAAAGUGUGAGAAUGAUAUUAAGAAAAAUUUAGUUUAGUUAGAAGGGAGAGUUGGAACUUGAUUGAAUGAAAUUUUCUACUAAAUGUUGUUGUUACCGUUUAUCAAAGUUGAACAAUUUUAGCAAAAGGAUUUCUAAAAUUGUAAUGGUGAAAUGGUGAAAUAAUCCUUUGUUGAUUCAAAGGAAAGUUCACAAUACAUUUUUGUAGAUACAUCUCUCAUUUCUUUUGAACACAUCUCUCAAGAAGUUAGAACCCAAAAUCUGUGUAGUAGACUAAUGGUCUCAGAAGCAAAACUAAAUAGUUCUUGCUCUUUUUAAUCCGGGAGGAGUUACUUAUUCUAUGGGUACUUGCACUCAUCAUUUUACUUAAAACUUGCAUUAACAAUAAAAAUUCUAACUAUAUUUUAUUAAUUAGUUGUCAUUGGGACUACUUGCUAUAAAUGCAUACAAUGAUAAUGUGUACUACCUUGACUCAAUAAAGAUAUCAUCACGAGUGGAUAUAAGACACUACCCUUUACAAGUUGGGAGCACUGAAUGUGGAUACUACGUCAUGAGGUAUAUGAGGGAUAUUGUGACCAAAAGAAACAUUGCCAUCUCAAAUUUGAUUGAUACAAGGAACUCGUACUCACAAACGAGUUAGACGAGGUGUGAGUUGAGUUGGCUGAAUUUUUGGGUUGCUACGUGUGAUAGUAAGUGCUUGCACAAUUUGGUCAUUUUGAAGAAAAUGCUUGUUCUGACUAACUUUUUGCAUUUACUUCAUGUUGAUAUAGGUGAAAUAUUUUUUGGAAUUGUUCAUGUGCGUGUGUGGGGAGGGGGGUGAUUAAUUGUAGUUUUGGAAAGAUGGUUAAUUGUUUCAUGUGUUCAUAUGAAGAUGAUUACAAAAAUGGUUUUGAUAGUUGUUAUGGAGAGAUUGUUUUGUUAAUAUGGGGCGAAUGGGUAGUUGUGAUAGAAGUUUGGAAAUGCAAUUUUUGAAAUUGUUCGUAUUGUGCUGACUGUUGGCAUUAUGUUCCUUAUAUUCUUUUUGGAAGUGUUUAUGUGGCCUUGUCCAUAUUCUUCUAAUUAGCUUAGAAAAUCCUUUAUGGAAUUGUAAAGUUUCAUAAUGACAAUGUUGAAAAAAUGUGAUAUCUUGUCAAAAGUAUGGGAGGAAAUUUUGGUCCAUAAGAUUGAAAAUGUGUUUGUUUGUCAAUAUAUCAUAUGUGACCGUUGGAAAAGAAUACAAGAACAAUUUGUAGGUGAACAUCCAUAUUAAUUUUUUUUUAAAAAAAUCACAAACAUACUUGACAUGUUAAACGUGUCAAGGUAUAGAUAUAUUUGACAAGUGGAAACUGUCAAGAAGUUUUGCAUUUGACACUUUAUUCUUGUUAAGGACAUCUAUAUUCUUGACAUUUUUGUAGUAUCAAGUAAAUUAGAUCUUGACAUUUUACAUAUCAAGUAAAAUUGUUCUUAACGUUUUUUAUUUAUCAAGAACGCCAAUAUUCUUGACAUUUCAAACAUGUUAAGUGUUAUUGUUCUUGACGUUUUUUCCUAGUUGAGAACAUCUACAUUCUUGAUAUUGGAUCUCUUGACGUUUUUAAAAAGGUAAAAAAUAGUGACACUUGACAUUGAAAAAACAUCAAACGACACUAUUUUUGUAGUAGUGAGGAGGUGGAUCCCACCAUUCAUUACGAUUAUGGAUGAACAUGUAUAUCGUCACACCCUGAGUUAAGAGAGAGACAUGAAUGAAUUGAUAUCACAUCUACAUAAGAGGGCUCGUAAGUGAAGGAGUAAAUGAAUACCUACAGCGAAAAGAACGUGUCCCAAUUUUUUAUCUUAUAGAACAUUAUUAAUUCAGAGGACGGAAAGAGAGAUACAACAUUCUAAUUAAGCACGCUUACAUAAUAAUUUAGAGAGGAAGAAGGGAUUAAAGAACUUACCCUUGAAGACCAAUAACCUUCGUGAAUCCCUUCCAAUGUACUACUUGAAAUGAUUCGAACUCUUCCUCUUCUCUUGAACACAUGAACACAACAAAAGGAAUUCUAAAUUCCGGACACCACCACAAACAAAUCCUCAAUAUUCUCAAGGUAGAGAAUCGUUGAGUGGUGUGGGCUUCAGUACGAUUAAUUUUGGUAGGGAGAGGGGAAGUUUUUGUUGAGAAAGCAAUUAUACAUAGAGUUUUUAUUCUUCAGAGAUCGAUUGAAACUUAAGAAAGAAGACUCUGCCUCCUUCCCAAAAGAAGACUCUGCCUUCUAUCACCCACGUUAAAUGAGGGAGGGAGGUAUCAUAUCACUCCCUCCCUAAUAACCGUAUUAAUUAGGGUUGGCAAAAAACCUCGCGGGGGCGGGUCCCUGCAGCCCCGACCCGAAUUCCCUAGUUUAACUGGGGAUGGGGUCAAAUUGGAAAGAUAUUCAUGGUCCCGUCGGGGGACAGUAUCCCCGCCCCAUCCCCAACCCUGACUCCAAUCUCGAUUAUUAUAUUUAUAUUUUUAAAAAAAUAUAUUUAUAAUAUAUAAAAGAAUUGAUUGAUAUAUAUGUUUACUCUUUAUUGUUCAGCCUAAUGCCCCAAACUUAAAAACUAAAAAAAGCCCUAAACUAAACACUCAUUGUUCAGCCCUAAAUUAAAAAGCUCACUAUUGCUUGCACCAAAAAGUUCCUUAUCCAGAGUCUCCACCUUCCUUUCUAUUCUAUGUCUACCGAAGACCGAAGUCACUCAGAAGUGCCCUACUGCCAAUCGUCAGCACCUACUCUCCUUACUUACUGAGUACGAGUACCGACUAGCGUGUCGUCUGCUUGUCGUGCAUUUGUGAGUUCAUGAGCCGAGCGUCUGGGUGUUCAUGAGCCGAAUGUCUGGGUGUUGCGCGUCUUUGCCGUGCGUCUAUGAGUUUGUGAGCCGAGCGUCUAAGUGUUGCGCGUCUGGCCAUUUGGGUGAAAGGCGAAGCUACUAACUGAUGCCGAACUCUGAAGGGUCUGGCCAGUCGUUUAGUUGUUGUGUCUGGCCAUCUAGGUAAGCGUGAAGGAAGACCGAGCGUCUGGGUGUUGCAUGAAGGAAGCCACCGUUUGGGUGAAGACUGAAGGCGACUGUCGACUGGCCGUGUCUGGGUGUUGCGUGAGCCAUUUGAGUUCGCUUUGGAAAACCUUAAAAACUAGACGUAAUUAGUAAUACCUAACAAGACUGUCCGUUCAAGUGAAGAAAACUUUGUGUUGUUCUGGGAGGCGAGAUCUAUCCAUUCAAGGCUUCAAGUCACUGCUGUCUGAGAUCUGUUGCCGUUCAAGCCGGUUGAAAAUAAUGUCUUCAUCACCUUCUACAAAUAAAGAUUCUUCAAGUCUAAUUCCAAGUCCAAUCUCAGAUCCAACCCCAAAUUCAACCCUAAAUUUAAUCUUCCAAUGAUGAUAAUUUGAAUGUUGAUAAUUGUAUCAUUCUUGGUGAGAAUAUUGAGAAGGGAUCUUUAAAGAGGAGAUUGACAUCGGUUGUUUGGAACCAUUUUAAGAAACAAAAAAUAGAUGGAGUAUACAAGGUUAUUUGUAAUUAUUACAAACGAAAAUUAGGGAGUGAAAGUAAAAAUGGAACCAAACAUUUCCAUGACCAUAUUAAUAUAUGCUCAUAUAAAGGAUGAAAGGACAUACCACAAUCCCUAUUGAAUCCUAACAGAUAGAAGAAUAAUACAUUGAGUUCAUAUAACUUUGAUCAAGAAGCUGCAAAAAAAGCAUUAGCUAGGAUGAUAAUAAAACAUGAAUAUCCUUUCUCAAUAGUUGAGCAUAAAGGUUUUAGGGAAUUUUGUAAUAUCAUCCGACCAUUGUUUAAGAUGAUGUCAAGAAACACAAUAAAGAAGGAGAUUUUGAAAAUUUAUGAGACUGAAAAAUUGAAAACCAUGACAUUGUUGAAUGAGAUCAAAGGGAAAAUUGUUCUUACAAUGGACAUGUGGACUUCCAACCACCAAACAAAAGGUUAUAUGGUUGUCACUGCACAUUUUGUUGAUGAUAGUUGGGUUUUGCAAAACAAAAUAAUCAGAUUUAUAUAUGUCCCUUCUCCACACACUUCUGAGAUGUUUCAUGAAGAAAUAAUGGAAUGUUUGUUAAACUAGAGUAUUGGUCGAAAAUUGUCAUCUGUAAUUGUAGAUAAUUGUAGUAUGAAUGACUCCAUGGUUAAUAUGCUUGUUGAUAGUUUGUGUGGAAACUUAAUAUUGGAUGGGAUUUUAUUUCAUAUGUGGUGUUGUGCUCAUAUUCUGAACUUAAUUGUGAAAGAUGGGUUGGUAGUGAUAGGAGAUGGGAUCGAAAGAGUACGUAGUAGUGUGUCUUUUUUUAUGGAUACACGAAAAAAGAAUGAGAAGUUUGAGGAAACUACUCGACAGUUGAAUGUUUAUGAUGGUCAGAUGUUGAGUCUUGAUUGUUGUACUAGGUGGAAUUCUAAUAUUUUAUAUUAGCCACUGCAUUAAAGUACAAGACUGUUUUUUAUCAAUUAAAACAACGAGAGCCAAAGUACAAGUGUUUGUCUUUGGAUCAAGAUUGGGUAUUAGCAAAAGAGAUAUGUGAGAAACUGAAAUAUUUCAUCAGUCGACUAAAAUAUUUUCUGGAUCUAAAUAUCCUACUGCUAAUCUUUUUUUUUUUUUCCAAAAAUUUGUAAAUUGAAGUUGGCUAUAUCUGAUUGGACGAAUUCUGGCAUUCAAGAGAUAAGAGACACGACUUCAAAUAUGAUUUCAAAGUUUGAUAAGUAUUGGAAGAAAAUUCAAUCCACGUUACAAAUUGAAGUUGAUUGAGUUUUACUUCCCUAGCAUUUAUGGAGAUAGUUUUUUUCUUGAAGUGGAAAGGAUUAAGAAAAUUUGUUCAGAUUUGGAAACGGAAUAUCAGAAGCAUGAAGAUGAAGGUGAUGAUUAUCACUCUAAAAAUUUAGAUGGAACCUCACAGAAUAUAUAAUUUGAUGAUUUUAAUGAUUAUGACUUGUUUAUAUCAAAUUCCAAUAAAAUGAAUAAGAAGCAAUAGUUUGAAACAUAUUUGGAUGAAUUUGUCUUACCUCGAACAUCUGAUUUUGACAUUUUGAGUUGGUGAAAAUUGAAUGGUGUUAAGUAUCCAAUUUUACAAGAAAUUGCAAGAGACAUAUUAGCCAUCCCGUUAUAUAGUGUUACAUCAGAGUCUGCUUUUAGUACCUGUGGUAGGAUUAUAAGCCCACGUCGUAAUAAACUUUAUCCGAAGACGAUAGAGGCUUUGAUGUACGCUCAAAAUUGGAUUGCAAUUGAAGUUUUGACAGGUACUAGCAUGGAAAAACAAAUGGUUAAACAUUUAGCAACUGUUUUAGAAGAUGCAGACGAUUCUGAUGAAGAUGGUGUUGUGACUAAGGAAUGAAUAAUACUCCUGGGAUAAUGCCAAGAAAGGAGAAAGAUUUGAAUGUGAAGUCAUCAUUGAAGAAAGAAAGACGAGCUUUAUUGAAUUUUAAGUUGUAAACUUAUUUGAAUGUAUAAGACGUUUGCCUUACUUGACUUGCUUAUUCAAACUUUAUUGAAUUUUAAGUUGUAAACUUAUUUAAUGGAUUUGUUAGCUUUAAAUUGUCAA